rnacentral:rRNA from 1 species
ACGGCUCAGUAACACGUGGUCAAUCUACCCUCAGGACGGAGAUAACCUCGGGAAACUGAGGCUAAUAUCCGAUAGAUAAUGGAUCCUGGAAUGGUUCAUUAUUCAAACGGCACAUUGCUCAUGCGCAGUGUGUCGCCUGAGGAUGAGACUGCACCCUAUCAGGUAGUUGGUGGGGUAAUGGCCCACCAAGCCUAUAACGGGUACGGGCCCUGAGAGGGGGAGCCCGGAGAUGGGCACUGAGACAAGGGCCCAGGCCCUACGGGGCGCAGCAGGCGCGAAACCUCUGCAAUGCGCGAAAGCGCGACAGGGCCACCCCGAGUGCUAGCCGCUGAGGUUAGCUUUUCCUUAGUGUAGUAAGCUAAGGGAAUAAGCGGGGGGCAAGCCUGGUGUCAGCCGCCGCGGUAAUACCAGCUCCGCGAGUGGUCGGGACGAUUAUUGGGCCUAAAGCGUCCGUAGCCGGCCUAUCAAGUCUCUGGUUAAACCUCAAGGCUCAACCUUGAGAUCGCUGGAGAUACUGUUAGGCUAGGGGGCGGGAGAGGUUGAGGGUACUUCGCGGGUAGGGGCGAAAUCCUAUAAUCCGCGAAGGACCACCAGUGGCGAAGGCGCUCAACUGGAACGCGCCCGACGGUGAGGGACGAAAGCCAGGGGAGCAAAGGGGAUUAGAUACCCCCGUAGUCCUGGCUGUAAACGAUGCGGGCUAGGUGUUGGGUUGGCUUCGUGCCAACCCGGUGCCGCAGUGAAGACGAUAAGCCCGCCGCCUGGGAAGUACGGCUGCAAGGCUGAAACUUAAAGGAAUUGGCGGGGGAG